AUCCUUUUGCAGCUCAUAAGCAUGAUGACUGGGUGUCCAUACUUGUGUGUGACAUGUGCCUCCUUCAAACCUUGUCACAAUGUUGGCACAUUACUCGUAUGACU